rnacentral:rRNA from 1 species
UACGUAUGGAGCAAGCGUUAUCCGGAUUUACUGGGUGUAAAGGGUGCGUAGGUGGCAGUGCAAGUCAGAUGUGAAAGGCUGGGGCUCAACCCCGGAGCUGCAUUUGAAACUGCAUAGCUAGAGUACAGGAGAGGCAGGCGGAAUUCCUAGUGUAGCGGUGAAAUGCGUAGAUAUUAGGAGGAACACCAGUGGCGAAGGCGGCCUGCUGGACUGUUACUGACACUGAGGCACGAAAGCGUGGGGAGCAAACAGG